rnacentral:rRNA from 2 species
CAAUAGUUUUUUAAUUGAAAGCUGGAAUGAAGGGUUGGAUAAAAAAAUAACUGUUUCUAUUUAAUUUAAUUAGAAUUUUAUAUUUAAGUUAAAAAGCUUAAAUUUUGUUAAAAGACGAGAAGACCCUAUAGAGUUUAAUAAAUAAUUAUAUUAUUAUAUUUAGAAUUAAUUUUAUUAGUUAUAUUAUUUAUUUAAUUGGGGUGAUUAAAAAAUUCAAAUAACUUUUUUUAUAUUAUAACAUUUAUAGAUGAAUAUUUGAUCCAUGGUUAAUGAUUAAAAGAUAAAAUUACCUUAGGGAUAACAGCGUUAUUUUUUUUUAGAGUUCAAAUCGAAAGAAAAGAUUGCGACCUCGAUGUUGGAUUAAAAUAAAUUUUUGGUGUAGAAGCUAAAAUAUUAGGUCUGUUCGACCUUUAAAAUUUUAC